CACAUACUCUAUCAUUUUAUUUUCGAAAAGUUAAAAUACUCAUUAAAGCUAAAACUUCAACGUCUUUUAUAACGGGAAAUUCAUCCCUCUUAUAAAAACGUUUUUCCUCUUUUGAAAAAAUGUGGUUUUUGUAAGAGUAAGAGUUAGUUGUUUAAAGUUUCAGAUCUCUCAAAGCUCUCUGUUCAACCCCCUUCAUUUCUUUUCAUCUAUUUGCUUCAAAAGAUAUUUUUCAAGAGAAAAGAAAUCUAGUAACAACAUUUUCUGAAGAACAGUUCUGAACUUUCCUUCUGUUUUGAAAUCUAUUUUUUGUUCUUCCUGUUCUUAUAAUUGCAUUUCUCUUUGUCUAUAUAGAUUCUUGUAAUCUGUUGUAGGCUA
rnacentral:lncRNA from 1 species